rnacentral:tRNA from 1 species
AAAGAAUUAGUUAAAACUAUAACAUUAGAAUGUCAAACUAAAAUUAUUAAUUCAUUAUUAUUCUUUA